rnacentral:lncRNA from 1 species
CGACUCUGACUCGACCGGUCUUGGCAUGGGCGAUGGUAUGAGCGCGUCCAUCAGUCGGCUCUGCUCUUCGAUGUACGACUGCCAAAACACCUGGCCGUUGUUGUUCGCCUGAGGCUAGCGGCACCGCAACACCACUUUCCGUUGAGGUUAGGACCUCUGUACGUUAUCCUUCUGCUGUGCGGUUUCUAGGCUACGUUGUGUCGCACCCGUUGAUGGAACCUGGGGGUACUAGGUUACCAGUGUGGUGUGCAUCGGGGUAUUGAGAUAAGAGAAUGCAGAAGGUAGGAGACAGAGGUAGGAGAGAACGAGGAGCUCUAUUCAGAGUUUUCUGUUGUUCAGAUGAAUAAUGUCCACGCCAAGACAGAGUUGCUGGUUAUUACAGGCGGUCAACUCACACGCCACCACGGGGACGCAGCCCCACACACACAGCCACACGCGACGGAUGGCGCACAGUCACGCCCAUUCCGGGCCCACCAGUCGGACGUUAGGACGCCGCUCCCUUCUUCCAGGCUCCCUUCUUCCUGGCUGCUUCUGUGGACUGCUCGAUGGAGGCAGAGGGGUGGUAACAUUCCCUCCCCCAAGCAGGGGCAAAAGGAAAGCAUUGGCGCAAAGCUUCAAGGUCCUCCCAAGUAGCCAAGUCGCGGGGUAAUCCGGACCAUUCCACGAGAACUUGCUGCACAAAGCGAUGCCCUUUGGUAAUUCCUCUGGUCUGAAGCACCUGGAUAGGAAUAGCAAAUUCUGGGAAAUCAGUAGGCAAUGUGGCCGGAACAGGGCCCUUGUAACCAGCGGCCAAUUUGAGCUGGGAGACAUGCACAACUGGAUGGAUCUUGCUGGCAGCAGGCAGAGCCAAGCGAUAUGCAACCUUGCCGACUGAGUCGGUGAUUUGAUAAGGACCAAAAUAUUUGAAGCUUAACUUGUGGUUAGCACGCGGCAACACAGACGACUGCACAUAGGGCUGAAGUUUCAAAUAAACCCAAUCGCCGACAGCAAACGAGCGUUCGGUCCUGUUCUUAUCAGCCUGACGCUUCAUCCGUUGUUGCGACCGAAUCAGGUGCUGAUGGAUGAGGUCCUGCAUGUGAGACCGUUCCUGGAGCCAAUCUGAUAGUGAAGCAGGGACAGUGUCAUCAACAGAAAUUCCCAGGGAUCGGGGCUUGCGACCGUAGAGGACUUCGAAGGGAGAACACCCCAAAGCUGAAUGGAAACUGGUGUUAUACCAGAAUUCUGCUGUUGGAAGCCAAGAUGACCACUUUUUUGGGCAUGCAUUAACAAAACAGCGGAGGUAGGUUUCGAGGCACUGGUUAACUCGCUCCGUCUGACCGUCGGAUUGGGGGUGGUAGGAAGAACUCAUGCGCAGCUCGGCACCCGCUAGCUUGAAGAAGUGUUGCCAAAACUGACUGGUGAACACAGGGUCCCGGUCAGAAAUCACAGCCACUGGAAAACCAUGGAGGCGAUAGACUUGAGAGACAAAAACUUGAGCCACGGUCAGCGCAGUAUACGGGUGAGACAGUGGAAUGAAAUGAGCAAACUUAGUGAAUUUAUCAACCACCACUAAAAUGCAAUCCGCGGUGCCCGAACGAGGAAGGCCUUCGACAAAAUCCAAUGACACCGUGUGCCAGGCAGACAGCGGAACUUCCAGUGGUUGUAACUUGCCUGGGUAAGCUGACCGGUCUGGUUUUGCCUGCAAACAGACUUGACAUUGCUGAACGAAUGUCUUCACAUAUUGCUUCAUCUGUGUCCAGGAAAAAAGACUCUUUACACGGCUAUAUGUAGCGGGAAUGCCGGAAUGUCCACCAAUCGCUGAGCAAUGGAGAGCUGAGACAAUCUUAUGCUGCAAUGGUUCAGCUGCCCCAAGCCAUAUACGAUUCUUAUACCGGAGCAGACCGACUUUCAAAGUGAAGUGCGGGACAGCAGCAGGAUCAACCGAUAGGCGGGCCAGGAGAGACUGGGCCUCGGCGUCAUGAUCAUAGCUGGCCUGGACGUCCAAUAACCAUUGAGGUACCACGGUGGACAAUGCAAGAAGGUCAGCAGGCACACAACGAGACAAUGCAUCAGCAACACGAUUCUCUAAACCAGGACCGUAAUGAACUUUGUAUUGCAGACCAAGUAACUUGGUGAAAACUUUAUGUUGCCAAGGUGUAUGAAGGCGCUGCUUGUUGAGUUGGGUGAGGCUUUUGUGAUCUGUGAGGAUGACAAACUCCUGGUGUUGGAGAUACGGCCGCCACUGCUGGACAGCGAGGAUCACAGCUAAGUACUCCUUCUCGUAAGUUGACAACCCUCUCAACUUAGGACCAAGUGCCUUGCUAAGAAAUGCUAGGGGGUGACCUUUUUGCAUAAGAACUGCACCGACUCCGAGUGCACUGGCGUCAGUUUCUACGAGAAAAGUGCUACUGAAAUCCGGUAAUGCAAGGACAGGAGCAGAUACUAGGGCCUUUUUCAAUGUGUUGAAAGCAAUAUCAUGCUCACUGGUCCAAAUAAAUAGGCUGCCUUUCUUGAGCAAUGCUGUAAGCGGUUGACAAAUGACCCCGAAAUUUCUGAUAAAUUUCCGGUAGUACCCAGCGAGCCCCAAAAAGCUGCGUAAAUCGCGAAUGCCACUUGGCGUUGGCCACUCAGCGAUAGCUUGGAUCUUCACUGGAUCGGUGGCCACACCUUGUGCAUCAAUAAUAUGGCCAAGAUAAGACACUUGCUGUCUUGCAAAGGAGCACUUAGAUAGCUUGACCUUCCACUGAUCUCGAGCCAAUAAUUCCAGGACCAGCUUCAGAUGACGGGUAUGGUCGUCCAGAGAUGCACUGUAUACAAGAAUGUCAUCGAAGAACACAAGAGCACACUUACGAAGUAGAGGUGCUAGAGUAUGAUUCAUAGCCUUCUGAAAUGUGCCCGGUGCCCCGGUGAGACCAAAUGCCAUAACUCGAAACUCAUAAUGGCCUGUGUGUGUCUGGAAGGCAGUCUUGUGUGACUCUCCUGCUUUGAGUAAGAUCUGGUGGAAGCCCGCUCUGAGAUCUAAUAUGGAAAACCAGGAGGCACCAAACAGCUCGUCAAGUAGCUCAUCGAUGAUGGGAACAGGGUACUUGGAUUUAACUGUAAGGGCAUUUAAAUGUCUGUAAUCCACGCAGAAACGCCAUGAAUUAUCCUUCUUUUUGACCAGCAACACUGGGGAUAAGAAUGCACUGGCACUGUGCUGAAUCAAACCACUCUGCAACAUUUCGGCCACUUGAGACUCCAUCUCAUCUUUCAUUGCUGGUGAAAAUCGAUAGGGUCGGAUGUUGACUGGUCGCGCUCCUUCAAUCAAAGGGAUAGCAUGAUCACACGAUCGAGUCGGGGGCAGGGCAGACGGUGGCUGGAACACAUCCUGAAAGCUGCGAAGCAGUCGCAUCACUGCCUCUGGUAACUGCAAGUCUUCUACCGAGUGCAACUGAGCAGGAUCAGUUGAAACAGGAAGCAAACGUUGAAUUUCCAACACUGUACCGACCGGAACCAAAGGGUUACAACCUUGUAAAAUUACUGUGCUGCCUGCAUAUGGGAUGGACAACCAUUUGUGUUUCCAGUCCACUGUCAUUGGGCUCAGCUGUUCCAGCCAAUCCAUACCCAAUAUUGCGUCAUAAAAGGGUAGAUGGAUCAACUUGAAUGUAGUACAGAAGCUAAGAUCCUGCACUGACCAAGAAGCCUGAGGGAGCUCCACAGAACACUGCAACACAGUGCCAUUUGCUACUCGUACAGACAAUGGUGUAUCCAUAGAAGUGAUGCCAGACAACUUAGAAGUGUGGGCAGAAUUCAGGAAGCUAUGAGAACUACCUGAGUCAAUUAACAUGAGCAGGUCAACCCCUUGCAGGACACCCCGAAUUCUGAAUGAUUUUGAUGGGCGGUGGACCGAGGCAGCUUCUGUAGACAAUAAGAUCAUAAAUUGCUCAGCAGAAUCCUCAAACUCGCCUUCAGAUUCAGGCUGAUCAGUUGACAGCAUCUCCCACAAUUCUUGGACAGCAUGCAACUGCACUGUAUCUGCACAUUUAUGACCCUUGUUCCACUUCUCUGCGCAGUAUUGACAGAGACCCUUAGCACGCCGGUACGCACGAAGAGAUGCCACCUUAGAAUCAACAGUUGUAGGCGCCGUCGUGUUGGUCUUGGUAUAAUCGCCCCCGCCGCCACGAGGCUGCUCCCCACGGUAGGACGAUGUGGGAGUGGCUCUCAGCAGCGGCCGAGGAAACGAAGAAUGUUCACCCCGAACCAACUCCUGCCGACGAGAAGGCUCUGCAGCUUCCUGCAACAAGGCCAAAGAGCAGGCAGUAUCGAGGUCGCCAGGACGUUGUACAAGAAUGACAGACUUGAUAUCAGCACGCAAGCCAUCAAUAAAUCUCAUAGUAUAAUACAAUGGGUCUGUUGUGUGUUCAUAGGUGACAAGCAAAUCCACUAACUCGCAAAAGCGAUCAAUGUAAUCCUGGACAGUGGAGGUCUGUUUGAUGUGGAAUAAUUUUUGGAUAACUAGCUCAUGUUGUUGACGACCAAAUCGGUCAUGGACGAACUGACAGAACUGUCGCUAGGAGAGCGAGGGCAAGCGAGGUUCAAUGGAUUGGAGCCAGCGCGCAGCUACGCCAUGGAAAUGCAUAGUUGCGGCUUUAAUCCAAACGAACUCCUCGGUAGCGUACAUGUCAAAAUAAUCUUCGCAUUGUUUUUGCCAAAGUUUGGGAUUACUGCCAUCGAACACAGGGAAAUUGAUCUUAGGAAGACCACCCAAUCCUCUACUCAGUUCCCCCCGACGAUCUAGCUCCCCAGAAUUGAGAUUAUGAUGAACUGGAAACUCAAACGAAGCAGGGGCGUUAGGUGACCAUGUACCCUUGACCGGGUAGUGGAGAUCGGCCACAGGGGGCCCAAAUCCACAUUCCCGGUGAGAUGAAGCGAAGCGGGGCCCAAAACGUGAGCCGUCAGCUUGACCGCCGGUGGCAGAAGAACACAUCGGCGCCGAUCUGGGCGAGCCGAGGAGGCCGGGCUUGGAGAAGCCGUCGACGCGCGCCCCUUGGGACCACCGGAUCUCCACUUUGGACAGCUCGGCGCGGACGGAAUCCAUGGAAGAUUGUAGGGCGUCGAGGGAGGAUUCCAUCCUGGGGCGCCAAGCGUCGAACGUGUGCUGGGUGGACUCGAGGGAGGUGACGCGCGCUCCGGUAGUGGCCUCCCAGUAGCGGACGCGGUCUGUGAGAUCCGCAUCGACCGCCGAAAGGUGAGCUUCAACGUCCGCGCGGAUGGCGGAGGCGAACUCGUCGGAGUGGCGAGCGAAGUCCGCCGCCUGGGACUCCAGCGCGCCGACGCGGAGUUCCCACUUGGAGUCGAUUGCUGUGAACCGUUUGUCGAGCUCAGCGAGAAUAGCGCGGGUCUGUUGUUCCAGCGCCUGCGUGAGCUGCGCGUCGAUAGGGGACGCCAUGGACGCGAUGGCCGAGGAAUGGAGGAAUCUGAUACCAAUUUGUUAAGGUAUGGGGUAUUGAGAUAAGAGAAUGCAGAAGGUAGGAGACAGAGGUAGGAGAGAAUGAGGAGCUCUAUUCAGAGUUUUCUGUUGUUCAGAUGAAUAAUGUCCACGCCAAGACAGAGUUGCUGGUUAUUACAGGCGGUCAGCUCACACGCCAUGGGGACGCAUCCCCACACACACAGCCACACGCGACGGAUGGCGCACAGUCACGCCCAUUCCAGGCCCACCAGUCGGACGUUAGGACGCCGCUCCCUUCUUCCAGGCUCCCUUCUUCCUGGCUGCUUAUGUGGACUGCUCGAUGGAGGCAGAGGGGUGGUAACAUACUGUGUCAGAACAGCGGGGUGCGCAAUACACUGGGCCGCCGGCUAAGAGAGAGGCAAGGCGAGGAUGUUGGGGUCGCACUGGUGGCUGUCCUCGGCUGAUGCUCCUAUGGCCACCAAUGCAAUGGAGAAGGACGUGGAGUGGAGCUUGCCUGGGCGCGUCGGGGAGGAAGAAUCGGGUCCACCGUUGGAUCGCGUAGGGUUGGUCCAGAUUAGAUGUUGGAAUGGUGCGCCAGGAGUCGUAGGUUUUUGAUCGGAUGGGAGGGGAUGCAGUUGAAUACCGAUCGGAUGGUGGGGGAUGCAGAUGAAGCACCAAAUGACCUGGCUUGAUAUUUUUCAAUCGAACUUUUCUGUCACACCAUUUUAUUGUUUCGGCCUGGUAUUUGUUGAUGUGCUCUAUGGCCUGAAGUCUGGUCCCUUCUAUGGUGUCUUUUGUUACUUGACAAUCAGCUUCAUCCUCCGUCGAAGCUAGGGUUCUUAUUGAACCCAUUCUUGCUUCUUCCGGUGUUAUUGCUUCAUCACCGAACAGAAGCUUAAAUGGAGUAAACCCUGUUGACCUUGAUACAGUGGUGUUGUGGCUCCAAACAACUUUUAUUAAUUCGUCUGGCUACUCCUCUUUCGGCUGAUUGAAGAUUGACUCUAUUAUUCCUAUUAUUAUGAUUCCAUUUGCCCUUUCUACCAACCCAUUUGACUCCGGGUGCCUCACUGAUGCAAAGUGUAUUUUUGUGCCAAUUUGGCUACAAAAAGUUUUGAAAGUUUCAGCAUCGAAUUGAGUUUCGUUAUCAACGGUGAUAGCCUUCGGUACACCGAAGUGACAAACUAUGUUUUGCCAGAAGAAUUUUUGCACUGUGGCCGGAGUUAUUAUAGCCAAAGGCUUUGCUUCAAUCCACUUAGAAAAGUAUUCCACUGUCACCACACCAUAUUUCAGAUUGCCUUGCGCUGGUGGUAGUGGCCCUAACAAAUCUAACCCCCAUCUUUGUAAUGGCCAUGUUGGUUGUAUCAGUUGAGUUAGAGAUGAAGGUUGUUUCUGGUCUCUCGCACAUCUUUGGCAAUUUUCACAUUUCUGAACUAGACCUGCCGCAUCCGAAGCUGCCUUCGGGCAGUAAAAACCUUGUCUGGAAACUUUUCCUAGUAGAGGUCUGAACCCAAUGUGGGCUCCACAUAAGCCUGCAUGUAUCUCCUUCAUUAAUUCCUGUCCUUUAGCUCUGGACAAGCAUUUGAGCAACGGUGAGCAAACUCCAUGCUUGUAUAACUCACCUUCUAUUAUUACAUAAGGUCUUGUUCUUGCUUCCAUUCUCUUGUUAUAAGCUUCAUCGUCUAAAAAACAGUUGCCCUGGAGAAAGGAAACUAUUUCAGUCCUCCAGUCUUCACUAUGUACAGGUGAGAUUGUGAGCACUACUCUUUCCAUGAGCUCGACUGAAGGUGCUUUUAUUGUUUCAAAAAGUACUUCCGAAGAAGCUUCCAACCUUCGGACCACAUCUAAAUACUUUUCAAGCUUCCAACCUUCGGACUGCAUCCAAGUACUAUGUGCCGCUGAUUUAGCUAUUAAAUCUGCAUGCUCAUUCUCUCCCCUUGGGAUAUUUUUUACAGAAAAACCUUCGAAAGAAGCUUCCAACCUUCGGACCGCAUCCAAAUACUUUUCAAGCUUCGCGUCUCUUGCCUUACUGCUUUUAUCCACAUGACCCGAGAUAACUUGCGAAUCAAUUUUGAGGAUUGCCCUUCUAAUUCCCAUUGCCUUCAGCUUCCAAAGCCCCAAAAGAAGAGCUUCGUACUCGACAAUGUUAUUUGUACAGCUGAAGUCUAACUUUAUUGCAUAACAUGUUCUGACUUUUGAAGGUUCAACUAGAACAGCUGCUACCCCUGCACCGAAGGUCCCCCAGGAUCCAUCGCAAAAUAGUCCAAGCUCCGGCAUCUUUUGUUGCUUCUUCAUCCUGAGCCCCUGGCGUCCAAUCAGCAAUGAAGUCUGCUAACGCCUGAGAUUGUAUUAUGGAUUUGUGCACGUAAUCAAUGGUAAAUUCAUUGAGUUCCGUGGCCCAUUUCCUGAUCCUUCCUGUGGCUUCUCUGUUCCUCGUUAUGUCCUUCAGGGGUUGCGAUGAAGGCACUAUUAUGUGAUAUGCUUCAAAGUAAUGCCGAAGCUUUCUGGAGGCCAUCAAUAUAGCAUACAGUACCUUCUCCAACUCUGUGUAAUUUUUCUUUGAAGGGCUGAGUACUUCGGAAAUAAAGUAUACUGGUGCUUGCUUUUUUACCUGGCCCUCUUGUUUCUCUUGUACAAGUGUUGCACUAACCGUAGCAUGGGAAGCAGCCACAUAUAGAAGUAACAGAGCUCCAGAUGAAGGUGGGGUUAGAGUUGUUAGAUCUAUCAAAUACUGCUUCAGCUCUUUGAAGGCUCUCUGUUGUGCUGGACCCCAUUGGAAGACUUCGACUAAUUUCAGUAUUUCAAAAAAGGUAAAUUCCUCUCUGCUGAUCUUGAAAUGAAUCUAUUUAAUGAUGCCAACCUUCCUGCUAAGCGACGAGCCCCCUUUUUUGAAUUUGGUGGCUCCAUCCGAAGGAUAGCUUUGAUCUUGCUUGGGUUAGCUUCGAUGCCUUUUGUUGAUACUAGGCAACCAAGAAACUUGCCCUUCUUCACUCCGAAGACACAUUUUUCUGGAUUUAGCUUGAGACCAGCUUGUCUGAAAUUGGCGAAUGUUUCUUGCAAAUCAGCAACAUGGUUUUCUUGCUUUGUGCUUUUUUACUAUGAUAUCAUCGACAUAUGUCAGCACAUUCCUGCCAAUUUGGGAGUGAAGAACCUUGGCGGUCAUUCUGCUGAAGCUUCCUCCAGCAUUCUUGAGCCCCUCAGGCAUCCAAAGAUAACAAUAUAGGUACCACUAGGAGUUAUGAAGCUUGUCUUUGGCUCAUCCUCCUUCUUCAUCCAGAUUUGAUGAUAACCUGAGUAGUAGUCCAAUAAACUCAUGAGUUCUGAAGAAGCUGCUGCAUCCACAAGGGAAUCUAUUCUUGGUAGUGGGAAUUCAUCCUUCGGACAUGCCUUGUUCAGAUCUGUGAAGUCAAUGCACAUUCUCCUUUUUCCAUUAGCUUUCUUUACCAUGACAGUGUUGGCUAGCCACUCUGGGUAUGUUACUUCUCUAAUGACGUCGGUGCUUAGAAGUCUCUUCACUUCAUUUUGUGCACCUUCGGCCUUAUCAUCGGACAUUUUCUGAAGCCUCUGCUUUCUUGGUCUGAAGGACGGGUCCACAUUGAGCGAGUGCUCAAUAAUGUCUCUAUUGACACCAGAGAGAUCAUUGGUUGUCCAAGCAAAACUAUCUUUAUUGUUAAACAAGAAUCUUAACAAGGUUUUUUCCUGUUCAUCAGACAGUUGGGAUCCCAACAAUACUUUUUGCUCUGCUAUGUCUUCACACAAAAGCAUAGGCUUCGGUUGGUCUGCUGAAGUAGCUUUCUCUCUUUUAUGCUUAUAUGCUGAUAAGCUUCAGCUUCAUCUAUAUUAUGAAUAGGCUUCGAAUCCGUCCAACUCCCUUCAGCUCUCCUGGCAACUUCUUGACUCCCGUGUACAGUAAUGGGCCCUUGUUCCGAAGGUAUCUUCAUGCAAAGAUAUGCUGGAUGAAGUAUUGCUUCGAAGGCAUUAAGCGUCCCUCGACCAAUGAUUGCAUUGUAUAGAUACUCCAUAUCAACGAUGUCAAAGACAACAUGUUCUGUUCUUGUGUUAUGAACAUAGCCGAAGGUGACUGGCAUUGUUAUCUUACCAAGUGCCACAAUAUGUCUUCCUCCGAAGCCACAAAGAGGGUGUGUUGCAUCAUGUAUCGUAUCCUCUGGCUCUUGCAUUUGCCUGAAGGCCUUUGCAAAGAUGAUAUCCGCUGCACUGCAUGUGUCCACUAAGACAUUGUGGACCAGAAAUCCUUUGAUAACACAAGAUAUUACCAUUGCAUCGUUGUGAGGAUAAUCAUUAAGCUGAAGGUCUUCCUGAGAGAAGGUAAUUAGAAUAUGAGACCACUUGGACUUGAUGAAGAGUCCUUUCACCCCCAACAUGUUGUACCCUUCUCUGUGCUUCUUUCUUCUGCUUCUUGUUGGCUGGUUCAGAGCUUGAGCCGCCUGUGAUUGGGAGCACUAGCUUCGUGGCCGAAGGUACUACAGCUUGGUUGUUUUGCAAAGCCAUCGUUGCAACUGUGGAAGUGAGUUCACUAGAGGUGGGCACCAAUGUUGGUCCUUGUUCUCAAAUGCUAUACAUCAAGAACAAGACAACACAAAUGUUAAUAAUUAGGGACCUUUGUCUUUUGAAGCAUUAUCUCCUUUUGGAUAUAAUGAUCUCCAAACGAAGGUUAUGAAGGGCAUACCUUCAUCAUCUCAGUGAACAAAUAUAAAUAAGGGUACAUGAAAUGUAAAAGAAUAUAAAUAAUGAUUAUGAAUCAGUAAGUUAUUUAUAUUCUCAUAUCAUAAACAUGAAUAAAUAUCAACAAUAUUUAUAUUACAAUGGUACCUUCGGCUUGUCAGAAGGUGAAAAUGCGAGAGUGACGUAGCAAUGAUUACAAUCCAGCGUGAACAGUACGGGGGUACUGUUCAUCUAUUUAUAGGCACAGGAUGCAACCCGGACAAAAUUACAUUCAUGUCCCUGAUUACUAACUGUAAUCAUAACGUGAACUGUUAAGGACUAGAUAGUCUUUUCCUCCUUAAGUCGGUAUUGUUCUUCGCCUUUAUUAUAAUGCUAAGCCGAAGCUCCUACAGUCAUAGCUUCGGUUUCUGUCCGCAUCAUUUUUGAGUUGUAUCUUCAUGUCACGUAUACCUUCGUGGUAUUUUGCCGAAGGUGUUUUUGCUUUGAGGACCUUCGGCGAGAAAGAAAACCCCCAACAAUAGGGUUGAAGGAGACUCGUCCUUAGAGACACCUCAUUGGAGACAUAGGUUCUUUGGAACCAAACUCCGAUAAAUCGAAUCACUCGUGUCUUUGUGUGUGUGUGUGUGUGUUUUAAUUUCACUUGCGAUUUGUUCUUCCCUCUCACCCUUUCUAAUUUCUCUUGUGAUUUCGAUUGAGUUUCUCCCAAGUUAAUUUUGCAAUCCAUUUGAGCAAUAAGUGCAAGAGAACUUCUCUCUCUUCUUCAUACUCUGAUUUAAGUAUUUCUCGCUCGAACCUCUAAUAUUGGGAUCUAGUUGUUUUAAGUGUUGAAUUUUUAGGAGUUGCUUAUUCACCACCCCUCUAGGCAACUAUCAUUUAUUUCAUGCAUAAAUGUUAUGGACUAUUGGGAUUCUUGAUGAGAUGCUUUUGUGAAUGCAUGUGUGUGUAUUCAUGUCAUGGUUUGUCAAUAUGGAUGCUCUAGAAAUAGGGCAAAGGCUAGUGAAUUUUUCAUGCAACAUAUUAAUCAUUUGAAUAAGUCUACAACACAUAAUACAAAGUACAUGCUAUGAUGUAGUAUUAUUCACUAGAACUAAAUCAUUUACAUUUAUGAGAUGAAAUAUAGUCUAAGGUGUAUAAAUGUUACACCACAUGUGAAAAAUAAAGCACAACAUGCUAUGCUAGUAGUCACCACCAUCGUAUAGCAACUCAUCGUCCUCAUCCCAAUCCUCUACCAAAACUUGGUUUUUGUUGCCACACAAAACUCCCAUCUGCCUCAUCUGCCUUCUGACUGUAGAAUUCAGCCUCCAGUUGAGCAUCGCCUCAUACAUCUAAGCAUCCUCCUUCACGUCUUGUUGCUUUUGUCUGGUGUCCUCUAAUUUAUCUAGAUCUAUGAGCUCACAAAGUCUAGAAUUGUCCUCCACCAAGUCUUUUCUUCUCUUUGCCUUUCUUCUAUCAAACAUGUCAUACAUCACCUUAGUGGCAUGCUCAUUGCAUCCUUCUUUACCUACAAAGAGAAAUACAAUAAGUUAUGCAUGCACAUUAAAAAAUAGAUUCACAAAACUAUUAUAUAGUCUAAGAACUCACUAGGCAAUCCAACAAUUAGGUCCUUUAUGAGCUACAUUUUAUUUUUAUGCUUCUCUUUCCCUAUCCUCCAUAGCUUUUUGGUCGACAACCAGCUAUUUGUGCAUCUCCCUAACAUACCAAUCAUUUGUACCUAAAUGCAUUAGAUGAAGUAGACCCUGUUCCCAUGCUUGAUGAGGUACUUCUAUUUGUGAACCCUAACAAAAUUGUCCAUAAAUUGAGACCCACACUUUAACUUUUGUUGCGUUGUUUGCUUCCAUCUGAUUGUAACCUCCAAUUCAUGUCUAAAACUAAAAUCCUCCAAGUCACAUUUUCUAGUGGUUUGUUGGAAACAAAUUAGUCACCAUAUGCCAUGGGUUUAUUUUAAAGUUUUUUUAAAGGUAUAACCAACCUAGUCAUAAACAACCAUAUAAUUGCACCAAUAACCUAUUCCAAACUUCAAGGUAACUUGGUUGCAGUGGGCUUCAAUGACACAUUUGCAUAGUACUGGCAGGAUUAUGACAUACUCUUUCUCUUUUGCCAUUCGCUUGGGCUCCGGCCAAUAAGACUUAGGUACAAAGAGCCACUCACAGAAAUGGCAUUUCUAAUAUUGGUGGUACAAAUGAUGUCAGAUUAUAAUAUAUGUGCAAGGAUGUCGGCGUUUCGAGACAGGGGGGUCCCUAAGCCGACGAGUGAGUGUGCUGCGUGCCCCAGCCCAGAUGGGUCGAGCGCGUGGGCGAGCGCGAAGGGGGGAGAGGCGAGGUGGCCGGAGUCGAGCGUGAGAGAGGUGGAAGUCCCGCGGCCUUCGUGUUCGUCCCGCGCCCAGGUCGGGUGCGCUUGCAGUAGGGGGGUUACAAGCGUCCACGCGGGUGAGGGAAGCGAGCGGCCCCAAGAGAGCGCCUGUCCCGUCCUCGGUCCCGCGCGGCCAACCUUCUCUGAGAAGGCCCUGGUCCUUCCUUUUAUAGUCGUAAGGAGAGGAUCCAGGUGUACAAUGGGGGGUGUAGCAGAGCGCUACGUGUCUAGCGGAGGGAGAGCUAGCGCCCUAGGUACAUGCCAAUGUGGCAGCCGGAGAGAUCUGGGCACCCUGCUGGUGUGAUGUCGUGGCUGUCGGAGGUGCGGCGGAGCCUGGCGGAGGGACAGCUGUUGGAGCGGUCGAGUCCCUGCUGACGUCGUUCUGCUUCCGUAAGAGAGCUGGGGGCCGCCGUCGUCAUAGAGCUUGUGGAGCGCCAUCAUUGCCCCUCUGGCGGAGCUGGCCGGAUGGGACGCCGGUCUUGUUCUCCGUGACCCGAGUCGAUUCGGGGUAGGAUGAUGAUGGCGCUUCCUGUUGACGUGGCGGUCUGUGCCCUAGGCAGGGCGACGUGGGGGUUCCUCCGAAGCCGAGGUCGAGUCCGUCUUCUGUUGCCGUGGCCGAGCCCGAGCCAUGGGGUCGGGCGAGGCGGAAGUCGUUCGGCCGAGGCGAAGUCCGAGCCCUGGGGUCGGGCGAGGCGGAGUUUCGUCGUCUUCCGGGUCUUAGCCCGAGUCCGAGCCCUGGGGUCGGGCGGAGCGGAGUUCGCCGUCUUCCGGGUCUUAGCCCGAGUCCGAGCCCUGGGGUCGGGCGGAGCGGAGUUCGCCGUCUUCCGGGUCUUAGCCCGAGUCCGAGCCCUGGGGUCGGGCGGAGCGGAGUUCACCGUCUUCCGGGUCUUAGCCCGAGUCCGAGCCCUGGGGUCGGGCGGAGCGGAGUUCGCCGUCUUCCGGGUCUUAGCCCGAGUCCGAGCCCUGGGGUCGGGCGGAGCGGAGUUCGCCGUCUUCCGGGUCUUAGCCCGAGUCCGAGCCCUGGGGUCGGGCGGAGCGGAGUUCGCCGUCUUCCGGGUCUUAGCCCGAGUCCGAGCCCUGGGGUCGGGCGGAGCGGAGUUCGCCGUGGCGCCUUUGUCAAGACCUGACUGCCGGUCAGACUCACUCUGUCGAGUGGUGCUGCAGUCGGAGUGGCGUAGGCGGCGCUGUCCCUCUGUCAGACUGGUUAGUGGAGCGGUGGAGUGACGGCGGUCACUUCGGCUCUGCCGGGGGCGCGUGUCAGGAUAAAGGUGUCAGGCCACCUUUGCGUUAAAUGCCCCUGCAAUUUGGUCAGUCGGUGUGGCGAUUUAGUCAAGGUUGCUUCUGAGCGAAGCCAAGGCCUCGGGCGAGCCGGUGAUGUGUCCGCCAUAAAAAGGGGGCCUCGGGCGAGACGGAAGUCUCUCGAGGUCGGCUGCCCUUGGCCGAGGCUAGGCUCGGGUGAAGCAUGAUCGAGUCACUCGUGUGGACUGAUCCCUGACUUAAUCGUACCCAUCAGGCCUUUGCAGCUUUAUGCUGAUGGGGGUUACCAGCUGAGAAUUAGGCGUCUUGAGGGUACCCCUAAUUAUGGUCCCCGACAGUAGCCCCCGAGCCUCGAAGGGAGUGUUAGCACUCGCUUGGAGGCUUUUGUCGCACUUUUUUGCAAGGGGACCAGCCUUUCUCGGUUGGCUUUCGUUCCGGCGGGUGCGCGCGAGCGCACCCGCCGGGUGUAGCCCCCGAGGCCUCGGAGGAGUGGUUACACUCCUUCGAGGUCUUAAUACCUCGUGUAACGCUUCGGCUGGCCUGGUCGUUCCCUCAUGCGAACUGGCCGUAGCCCGGGUGCACGGUCGGGGCCCAAGCUCUCGGGCUAGUAUGUUGACGCUGUCAACGAUUUGGCCGGAGCCGGUUUUUGCGAGAGCAGCCCCCGAGCCUCCGCACAGGGCGAGAUGACGAUCAGGGACAGACUCGACUUUUUACAUACGCCCCUACGUCGCCUUUCCGCAAGGAGGAGGGGGGGAGUGCGCCAUGUUACCCUCGAUGGGCACCGAACAUGGUGUCUCCGGUGAGCUGCAAGCGGGUAAUCCGAGUGGACGUCCGUGCCCCGUUCGUUGGGGGUCGGCUAGGGGCCCAGAGGCACGCCCAAAAGUACCUGCGGGUGAUUUGCCGGACCCGGUCCCCUGGCGACGGGGUCCGAGGGCUCGAUGCCUCCCUCCGAUGGGAUUCCGUUACAAGAUCGUUCCCGCUGGUCUCGGAAAUGUCCUAGGGUACCUCGGGAGCGCAGCCCGAGGCUCGGUUAUGUAUCGAACGUACCCCUGGUCAUCCCUCGCUCGGUGUCUGAGGCGACUGUGAACCCUUCGGGGGCCAGCCUUCGAACCCCUGAUCAGUAAUGGGCGCGGAGCCCGAGUAGCCUGAGGCGGCCAUGGAACCCUUCGGGGGGCUAGCCUUCGAACCCCUGACCAGUAGUGGGUGUCGGGCCCACGCGAUCUGAGGCGGCUGUUGAACCCUUCGGAGGGCCAGCCUUCGAACCCCUGAUCAGUAGUGGGGGGCUCGGAGCCCGGUUCCUUCGCGGAGAAGGAUCCCUUUCGGGGCAUCCCCCUUUCUCGGUCCCUGUUGCAAGAGAUAGAGAAAGAGGAAAACGGAAAAGGAUACGAAAUCGGGCGACGUGGCGUACCUUUUCUGACGUGGUUAUUAUGGCGAAGGUGAAGCGUCGCGCGCUCCUCCCAUCAGAGACGCCGCCUGUCCCGCCGCGGAGUAAAUGCGACAGGGCGAGUGGUUGGCGGGGCGGCCGUUGCGCGUGUGCGAUCCGUUCGAGGGACGGGUCACGGGUGCACCGUUUCCACGCCGUGAGAGGAGGCUCUCUUGCUGUCCCGGGAUGGGACGUGAGCCUGGCUGACAACGUGACCGCUGCGCCCGCCCGCCUGCCACCGCUAUUACUGCCGGCCCACUUUCGGUCGCUUUGACCGACGCGCCAGGCUGGCGCUGUUGGGUUGCCUCGAGUCGCGGCAUUGGCUCCGCAACCGAAGAGGCGCGAUGGUGGCACAAGUAGCGGUGCGGUUGCUUGCAUGCAGCAACUGGCGCGCCGGUUGCUUGACGCGUGGGCCUGGGUUCCCAAGCUGACGUGUCAGAAGUUGGAGAAGCGCGUCCACCUGGCGCGGUUGCAUGCCGCCUGCAUGGCUGCCCGCCCCUUCUGCCGUUGGUCUGGGCGAAAAUGGGGGGUCGCUUGUAACCGCUGGACGGUCGUGCGCACCACGCGCGGCGGUUUGGCUUCUUCUGCCCUGAGCCGGCUUGCAUGACAUGCGGGACCCAGCCCCCGAGUCGCAGGGGAGGGCCUUGGAGCGUGUUGGAGAAGACUCAGCCUGUGGCGCCUGGGGGCGCACGUAGGGAGAGUUGCCUUUAAAAGGAGGGAGACUCCUUUCGGAAGGCAACCAUGUCUUCUUCCUCCCUUAAGCGUCGUGUCUUCCCAUCUUCCAAGCCCCCGGAUGGGGGGUAUCCGCCGCCUUUCCGCCUCCUCGUUGGAGGAACGCAACUCCAUGGGAGUUGGUACCUCUCAGCCAUCGUUCGGCUUCAAGGAUUUUCAUCGUGCUGCCCGGCUGCUCCCCUCCGCCGGCGGUCACCUGAGAUGGCGACCUCCGGCUUGAUGGUGGGGGAAAGCGAGCCGGGCUGCGGCCUCUUCCCCUCCCUCAGCCUCAAGGAUUUUCAUCACCAGGGCUGGGGAGGGGAGUGCGCCGAGUUGAGGUCGGCCCCCGCGGGGGCGGCGGCCCGCUCCUUCACUCAGUGAUCGGAAGGAAAGGCGGUCGCCGUCCGUGGCGCUGGCAGCUGCAGCGUGCCUGGCUUUCAGGCGCGAGUGGCUUCGGAGCCGCUCGCGGUGCCGGCAUCCGCCACAGCAGCUUGAAGAGGUUCUGCUGCCGGCGGGAUAGCCGGGGCCGGCCACGGGCUGACCUCCAACUCUACGGCCUUCUGCCCGUCCUUGCCUCACAAGUUUUGGCAUGGGCGGGGGCCUCCUGGCAGCGGCAUCGAGCCUGAGGUCGGCGUUGCCGCUGCUUGGUCCCUCGGAGCAGAAAGCGUCGUCGUCGCCGCUGCUGGAGCAGGUGACGGCGCACCAUUCGUUGGCCUUCCGUUGCUCCACAGGCCUUCCCCCUCGGAGUGGGGUUGUUCGUGCCUGUGGAGGGGGGAACCGGAGUUCCGUUGGUAAUGGCACUUCGGAUGCCAGUGUUUUUUGUUCAUUGUGGCUGUCGGGGCCUGAACAUGUAUGUAAUUUCGGCACGGAGCCGUGUUUUUUCCUCAUUUUCGAGCACUAAGUCUCGCCUGUUGGUUAUCUGAACCGCUUUACCAAGCAUGAGUCGCCUCGUGUUAAGGUGACGGGUGAGGUAUCCGUAUCCUGGAGGCGUAGGAAUCCCUCGGCCCGUUUGGCCUUGUUGUCUGGGGCUCCUCUAGCUUAGUUAAAGAGACCCCUCGGCCGCCCUUCGGUGGACCGAGGCCAGGGGUAGCGAUAUCAGUAUGAACAGAGGCGGAGUUGGCUCGAGAAUGGGAACCUGGUUGGCCGGAGCCUAGUCGCGUUGUCCGUCAGCGGAGCCGACACCAAAGUCGAUCAGUUGAGGCCUCGGGUCGGGCUGGCGCCCUUGGAAGCCGGUUGACCGAGGCCCCGGGGGUAACCGGUUGAGCCGCCUGCUCGGGCCGGAUUCCCGGAGGAGUCCCUGGAUCGCGUCGCCGCCCGAGGCUGGGUCGGACUUUGCUGAGGGCGUCGUCGAUGCCGAGGGUGCUAUGGCUCCCUUCAGCGUGAAGACCCGAGCCUGCAGGAUCAGAUCAUCUUGUAGCGUGUGCUUUCUGCGGCCGCCGAGGCCAGAAAAAACACACCCUCGCCGCGCUUGCGAAGCUGUGCUUUCUUUCCUCUUGUUUCGAGCAUCUGGACUCUGUCGGUAACAGGGAUGUUUGUGUGAGCGAGAGUUGUUUUUCGCGGAAGGGACGAGUGAGGUAUCCGUAUCCCAGAGGCGUGGGAAUCCCUCGGCUCGGUCGGCCUUGCCGCUUACGCGUACUUUCACCCGUCCAUGAGGCCCUGUCCCCGACUCAGUCGAGAAAGCUUGAAGGACUGCUUCGGCAGGAGAACUUCCGAACGUGAAGACUUGUUCGGUCCACGGGGUCGCUUUAUCCGAGCGCAAGUUACUUAUCGCAGAAGGUGAUGAGUGAGGUAUCCGUAUCCCGGAGGCGUAGGAGUCCCUCGGCUCGGUCAGCCUUGGCUACUUACGUGUACUCCGUCGUUUCCAGGAUCCGCUUUUCGAAGUAGUCAAGAAGCACGAAAGAAAUCCUGCUAAAAAGAGGUCCUUUUUCGAGGAAAAAUUCGACGCAGAGGGGGUCUCCCCCCUUUUAGCCCCCGAGGGAGGGUCGGGCUUUGCCGAGGCUAGGCCGACCCUUCCUUGACGACUAAACUUUGCGUAGGUGCGAGGUAUAUGAACAACUUGAAAACAUCUUAAGGGUAGAAGCGACGUAGCUGUUUGAUGUUCCAAGCGUUGUCGUAGAUUUCGCCUUGAUUGUUGGCCAGCUUGUAUGUUCCGGGCUUCAGAACUUUGGCGAUGACGAAUGGCCCUUCCCAGGGGGGCGUGAGCUUGUGCCUCCCUCGGGCGUCUUGCCGCAGCCGGAGCACCAGAUCGCCCACCUGGAGUUCUCGGGACCGGACCCCUCGGGCGUGGUAGCGUCGCAGGGACUGUUGGUACCGCGCCGAGUGUAGUAAGGCCCUGUCCCGAGCUUCCUCCAGCUGGUCCAGCGAUUCCUCUCGGCUAGCUUGGUUGCUUUGUUCGGUGUAGGCCCUCGCCCUCGGGGAGCCGUAUUCCAGGUCAGUGGGCAAGAUAGCUUCAGCCCCGUAGACCAGGAAAAACGGCGUGAAGCCCGUGGCACGACUCGGCGUCGUCCUUAGGCUCCAGACCACCGAGGGGAGUUCCUUCAUCCAUCGCUUGCCGAACUUGUUGAGGUCGUUGUAGAUUCGAGGCUUGAGCCCUUGUAGAAUCAUGCCGUUGGCACGCUCUACUUGCCCAUUUGACAUGGGAUGAGCCACGGCGGCCCAGUCCACCCGGAUAUGGUGAUCCUCGCAAAAAUCCAAGAAUUUUUUGCCGGUGAACUGGGUGCCGUUGUCGGUGAUGAUGGAGUUCGGGACCCCGAAGCGAUGGAUGAUGUUGGUGAAGAAUGCCACCGCCUGCUCGGACCUGAUGCUGUUCAGAGGUCGGACCUCGAUCCACUUGGAGAAUUUGUCGAUGGCGACCAGCAGGUGCGUGUAGCCCCCGGGCGCCUUCUGCAAGGGACCGACGAGGUCCAGACCCCAUACAGCGAAGGGCCAGGUGAUGGGUAUUGUCUGCAGAGCCUGAGCGGGCAGGUGUGUCCGCUUCGCGUAGAAUUGGCACCCUUCGCAGGUGCGGACAAUUCUAGUGGCGUCAGCCACCGCCGUUGGCCAGUAGAAGCCUUGCCGGAAAGCAUUUCCGACAAGGGCUCGGGGCGCUGCGUGAUGGCCGCAAGCCCCCGAGUGUAUUUCUUGCAGCAGUUCCCGACCUUCGGCGAUGGAGAUGCAUCGCUGGAGGAUGCCCGAGGGGCUGCGAUGGUAGAGCUCCUCUUCGUCGCCCAGCAAGACGAAUGACUUGGCGCGUCGCGCUACUCGCCGAGCCUCGGCUUGGUCGAGGGGUAGCUCUCCUCGGCGGAGAUAUUGCAGGUACGGGGCCUGCCAAUCUUGAUCUAGCGUGGCCCCGCUCUGCCCUUCCUCGAUGUUCAGUGCCCCGCCCUCGGGGGCCGAGGGUACCUCGGGCUGUGCCGAGGGUACCUCGGGCUGAGCCGAGGGUACCUCGGGCUCGGGCGCGUCGUCGAGCUUGACGGAGGGUCGAUGCAGAUCCCGGGAGAAGACGUCCGGGGGGACUGUCGUUCGCCCCGGGGCUAUCUUAGCCAGCUCGUCUGCGGUUUCGUUGUAGCGCCGAGCGAUGUGGUUGAGCUCGAGCCCGAAGAACUUGUCUUCUAGGCGCCAAACCUCGUCGCAGUAGGCCUCCAUCUUCGGGUCGCGGCAGUGGGAGUUCUUCAUGACUUGGUCGAUGACGAGCUGCGAAUCACCGCGGGCGUCGAGGCGUCUGACCCCUAGCUCGAUGGCGAUCCGCAAUCCGUUGACCAGAGCUUCGUACUCGGCCACAUUGUUGGACGCUGGGAAAUGGAGGCGCAACACGUAGCGCAAGUGCUUUCCGAGGGGCGAGAUGAAGAGCAGGCCCGCGCCGGCCCCCGUCUUCAUCAGCGACCCGUCGAAAAACAUGGUCCAGAGCUCCGGUUGGAUCGGAGUCGUUGGCAGCUGGGUGUCGACCCAUUCGGCCACGAAAUCCGCCAGCACCUGGGACUUGAUGGCCUUCCGAGGGGCGAACGAGAUCGUUUCGCCCAUGAUUUCCACCGCCCACUUUGCGAUCCUGCCCGAGGCCUCUCGGCACUGGAUGAUCUCCCCCAGGGGGAAGGAUGACACCACAGUUACCGGAUGAGACUCGAAGUAGUGUCGCAGCUUCCGCCUCGUCAGGAUCGCAGCAUACAGCAGCUUUUGAACUUGUGGGUAGCGGAUCUUAGUCUCGGACAGCACUUCGCUGAUGAAGUAGACCGGCCUCUGAACGGGCAAUGCAUGCCCUUCCUCUUGCCUUUCGACCACAAUCGCGGCGCUAACCACCUGAGUGGUCGCGGCGACGUAGACCAAGAGGGCUUCUCCGUCCGCCGGGGGCACCAAGACAGGCGCCUUUGUAAGGAGCGCCUUCAGGUUGCCGAGGGCUUCCUCGGCCUCAGGGGUCCAAGCGAAACACUCGGCCUUCCUUAAGAGGCGGUACAGAGGCAGACCUCUUUCGCCGAGGCGUGAGAUGAAGCGGCUCAAGGCCGCGAGGCAUCCCAUGACCCUCUGUACCCCUUUUAAGUCCUUGAUGGGUCCCAUGCUGGUGAUGGUCGCGAUCUUCUCCAGGUUGGCUUCGAUGCCUCGCUCGGAGACGAUGAACCCUAGGAGCAUGCCUCGGGGGACCCCGAAGACACACUUCUCAGGAUUAAGCUUGACUCCUUUCGCCUUGAGACACCGGAAUGUCACUUCAAGGUCGGAGAGGAGGUCGGAAGCCUUCCUUGUCUUGACUACGAUGUCAUCGACGUAGGCCUCGACUGUGCGACCGAUGUGUUCGCCGAACACAUGGUUCAUGCACCGCUGGUACGUCGCGCCCGCAUUCCUCAAUCCGAACGGCAUGGUGACAUAGCAGUACAUGCCGAACGGCGUGAUGAAAGAAGUCGCGAGCUGGUCGGACUCUUUCAUCCGGAUCUGGUGAUACCCUGAGUAGGCAUCGAGGAAGGACAGGGUUUCGCACCCAGCGGUGGAAUCCACGAUUUGGUCGAUGCGAGGCAGAGGGUAGGGAACCUUCGGGCAUGCUUUGUUGAGACCAGUGUAGUCUACACACAUCCGCCAUUUCCCCCCUUUCUUCCUCACAAGCACAGGGUUGGCAAGCCAUUCGGGAUGGAAUACCUCUUUGAUGAACCCUGCUGCCAUUAGCUUGUGGAUCUCUUCGCCAAUCGCUCUGCGCUUCUCCUCGUCGAAUCGGCACAGAGGCUGCCUGACGGGUCGGGCUCCGGCCCGAAUAUCCAGCGAGUGCUCGGCGACAUCCCUCGGUAUGCCGGGCAUGUCCGAGGGACUCCACGCGAAGACGUCGGCGUUUGCGCGGAGAAAGUCGACGAGCACUGCUUCCUAUUUGGGGUCGAGCCCGGAACCGAUCCGGACCUGCUUGGUGGUGUCGCCACUGGGGUCGAGAGGGACGGCCUUGACCGUCUCCGCUGGCUCGAAGUUGCCGGCGUGGCGCUUCACGUCUGGCACCUCCUUGGAGAGGUUCUCCAGGUCGGCGAUGAGGGCCUCGGACUCGGCGAGGGCCUCGGCGUACUCCACGCACUCCACGUCGCAUUCGAACGCGUGUUUGUACGUGGGGCCGACGGUGAUGACCCCGUUGGGGCCCGACAUCUUGAGCUUCAGGUAGGUGUAGUUGGGGACGGCCAUGAACUUCGCGUAGCAUGGCCUCCCUAGCACGGCGUGGUAGGUUCCUCGGAACCCGACCACCUCGAACGUCAGGGUCUCCCUUCGGAAGUUGGAGGGUGUCCCGAAGCAGAUGGGGAGGUCGAGUCGCCCGAGGGGCUGGACGCGCUUCCCAGGGAUGAUCCCGUGGAAGGGCGCAGCGCCUGCUCGGACGGAGGACAGAUCGACGCGCAGGAGCUUGAGGGUCUCGGCGUAGAUGAUGUUGAGGCAGUUGCCCCCAUCCAUCAGGACCUUGGUGAGCCUGACAUCGCCGACAACGGGGUCGACGACGAGCGGGUAUUUCCCCGGGCUCGGCACAUGAUCGGGGUGGUCGGCCUGGUCGAAAGUGAUGAGCUUGUCGGACCAGUCUAGGUAGACUGGCGCCACCACCUUUACCGAGCAGACCUCCCGGCGCUCUUGCUUGCGGUGCCGAGCCGAGGUAUUCGCCGCAUGCCCUCCAUAGAUCAUGAAGCAGUCGCGGACCUCGGGGAAUUCUCCUGCUAGGUGAUCUUCAUUCUUGUCGUCGUCGCGGGCCCUGCCACCCUCGGCGGGUGGCCCGGCCCUGUGGAAGUGACGCCGAAGCAUAACGCACUCCUCGAGGGUGUGCUUGACGGGCCCCUGAUGGUAGGGGCACGGCUCCUUGAGCAUCUUGUCGAAGAGGUUCGCACCUCCGGGGGGCUUCCGAGGGUUCUUAUACUCGGCGGCGGCGACAAGGUCCGCGUCAGCGGCGUCGCGUUUCGAUUGCGACUUCUUCUUGCCUUUCUUCUUGGCGCCGCGCGGAGCAGACGCCUCGGGAGCCUCUUCCGAUGGGCGGCCCUGGGGCUGCUUGUCUUUUCGGAAGAUAGCCUCGACCGCCUCCUGGCCAGAGGCGAACUUGGUGGCGAUGUCCAUCAGCUCGCUCGCCCUGGUGGGGGUUUUGCGACCCAGCUUGCUCACCAGGUCGCGGCAAGUGGUGCCGGCGAGGAACGCGCCGAUGACAUCCGAGUCGGUGAUGUUGGGCAGCUCGGUGCGCUGCUUCGAGAAUCGCCGGAUAUAGUCCCGGAGCGACUCUCCCGGCUGUUGCCGGCAGCUUCGAAGGUCCCAGGAAUUCCCGGGGCGCACAUAUGUGCCCUGGAAAUUGCCAGCGAAGGCUUGGACCAAGUCGUCCCAGUUGGAGAUCUGCCCCGGAGGCAGGUGCUCCAACCAGGCGCGAGCAGUGUCGGAGAGGAACAGGGGGAGGUUACGGAUGAUGAGGUUGUCGUCGUCCGUUCCACCCAGUUGGCAGGCAAGGCGGUAGUCCGCGAGCCACAGUUCCGGUCUUGUUUCCCCCGAGUACUUUGUGAUAGUAGUCGGGGGUCGGAACCGGGUCGGGAAUGGCGCCCGUCGGAUGGCCCGACUGAAGGCCUGCGGACCGGGUGGUUCGGGCGAGGGACUCCGAUCCUCCCCGCUGUCGUAGCGCCCCCCACGCGUGGGGUGGUAGCCUCGGCGCACCCUUUCGUCGAGGUGAGCCCGACGGUCGCGUCGAUGGUGCUCGUUGCCGAGGUGGCCCGGGGCCGCAGGCGCGGUGUUGCGCGUGCGCCCGGUGUAGACCGAGGCUUCCCGCAUGAAUCGGGAAGUCGCGGCAUGAGGUUCCGAGGGACAACCUUGCCUUCGGGAGGCAGUGCUCUCGGCCCGCCGGGCCGCAGCGCCUUCCAGGAGAUUCUUGAGUUCUCCCUGGAUUCGCCGACCCUCGGUGGUUGACGGCUCCGGCAUCGCGCGGAUGAGCAUUGCUGCGGCUGCCAGGUUCUGACCAACCCCGCUGGAUGCGGGCGGCGGCCUGAUCCUGACAUCGUCGGCGACGCGGUGCUGGAGACCUCGGGGCAGGUGACGUAUUUCUCCGGCCAGGGGUUGGCCCACCCACGCCUGUCCGACGUCCCGACGGAUCGGCUCAAGCGCUCCUGUUCCCUCGUUGAGCCUGGCCUGCGCCUCGCGGACUUGCUCGAGUUGUGGGUCGUAACCCCCCGCCGGAGCGGGGACCACAGCUAGCUCCCGUGGGAUGUCGGCGCGAGGCACCGGCCUAGGGAGAUCACCGUCCUCCGGCAUGCCAAGAUGGUUGCCUUCGGAGGGAUCCCCUAGCUCGAUGUGGAAACAUUCGCGGCUUGGGCCGCAGCUCUCAUCGCCGAGGCUGCGGCUUCCAUCGGAACAGUCGGAUAGGCAGUAGUCACAUGCGGUCAUGAAGUCCCGCACGGCGCUGGGGUUGCCAAGUUCGGAGAAAUCCCAACCGAUGCUGGGAUCGUCAUCUUCCUCGGACCCAGAGGGCCCGUAGGUCGAGACGUCCGUCAGUCGGUCCCAAGGCGACCGCAUACGGAACCUCAGUGGGGUUGCACUCGCCUUAAUGAGAGCGCCCGCCAAAACGAGGUCGUUUGGCGGGUUGAGGCCGAGUCGAAAUGACGCAAGAUGGGAGUUAGUCGUUACCUUUUGGUCGACGAGGAGCGACGUAGUCACAUCGGGGACUGGUUGCACCAUCAUCUCUGGUCCGAGGGCGACGUCCUGCAGGCUUUCCGCGAGCGCGCCGGCGCCGUCUUCUUGCUCGGGGUCAGCGUGCCGCCGGGGGACGGCGCUUGCCUCCGUCUUGAACGCGAGGUCGACGUCCGGCGUGCCUUCCGUCGGGGUGUCGGGGGCGUCGAUUUGCUCGACGGCCGACGAAGCGCGGCCUCCCACCUGGCCUUGACGGCCCCGUCUCCUCCUCCGUUGGCGGGGGAGAGAACGGAGCGAGCCCAAAUGUUGCCCUUCCACCACGCGGGGAAGACGUCGUCGAUUCCGCCGCCGGCUGGCGGGUUGUCGGCCGCCGUUGUCGUAGUCGCGCGGCGGUGGAAGGAGUAUCAUGUCGUAGCUGCCGUCGAAGGACAUGAACUCAAGAGUCCCGAAACGAAGCACCGUCCCGGGGCGGAGAGGUUGCUGGAGACUGCCCAUCUGGAGCUUGACGGGGAGCUGUUCGUCAGCACGCAGCAGGCCCCUACCUGGCGCGCCAACUGUCGGCGUUUCGAGACAGGGGGGUCCCUAAGCCGACGAGUGAGUGUGCUGCGUGCCCCAGCCCAGAUGGGUCGAGCGCGUGGGCGAGCGCAAAGGGGGGAGAGGCGAGGUGGCCGGAGUCGAGCGUGAGAGAGGUGGAAGUCCCGCGGCCUUCGUGUUCGUCCCGCGCCCAGGUCGGGUGCGCUUGCAGUAGGGGGGUUACAAGCGUCCACGCGGGUGAGGGAAGCGAGCGUGUAACGCCCUGAAUUUGGGGGUAGAAUUUUUUCUUCUUUUCUCUCACCAAAUUCGGGCGUUACUCUCUUUUCUCUUUCCCCGUUUGCUCCUUCUUCCCAAUUUCAAACCAGUAUAGCGGCAGGUGUCCGUGUUAUGUAUAAACCAAAACCUAAGUGUCAUGGGUGUUGCAUCAUGCCGAAGCACAUUUCUUUGUCUGAUGUUGAAUGUUCGUCUCGUUCCGUCCCGGAUUUCGGUUCGCGAUUUAAUUCCGUUUAGUGGUCGCGCUCGUCGUGGGUUUUCGAUCCGCAAGGUGGCCCGGCCCAACCUAGCCCAGCCCAGCCGGCCCGGCCCGCCUCGGCCUGCGCGCCCCUGGCGCCCAACCCCCCCCCUGCGCCCCCCAUCCUCUCCCUCUCCCUCAUUUGGAUCUCCCGCGCAACAGCUUCCCUCUCCCUCUUCCACCUCUCUCUCCCCGUGGUGCCCUAGGGUUUGGAGACGGCGAUCACCGGAUUUUGGACCCCGAGGUGAGCUCCCCUCCCCUUCUCUUCUCUCUCUCCCUCCCCCUCCUCUUCUUCCCCACGCGCGCCCUCCCUCUCCCCUGCUCGCGCGCGCCCCUGCCCGCCCCUGCUCGCCGGCGGCGCGGCGCCCCCCGCCCCUGCCCGGCCCCGUGCGGCGGCGCCCGCCCUCCCCCGGCUGCGGCGGCGCUCGCCCGCCCCUCCCCCUCGCCCGCGCGGCGGCGCCCGACCCCGUCCCCGUCCCCACCCCGGCCCGCGCGGCGGCGCCCGACCCCGUCCCCGCCCCUCGUCGGCGGCGCCUCCCGCCCGCCCCCGCCCGGCCCCGCGCGGCCCCCUGCCCGCCCCUCGGCGCGGUGGUGCCCCGGCCCCCCCGCUCGGCCCCCGACCCUGUCCCUCCCCGGCGGCGCCCGCCCGCUCGGCCUCCCCGGCGGCGCUCGGCCGCUCGGCCCUCGGCCCUCGGCGCGGCUCCCCUCCCCCUCCCCCCCCGGCGGCGAUCCCGCCCGCCCCCUGCCCGACCCCGGCCCCGGCGGCGCUCGGCCUCGCCCCCUGCCCCUCCCCGGCCCCGCCCCGGCUCGCCCUCGGCUCGCCCGCUCGGCCCCGGCCGGUUCAACCGCCCCCCUGGCCGGUUCAACCGCCCUGGCCCCAGCUCGCCCGCUCGUUUCCCCGUCCCGGCCUCGCCCGACCGUAUUUUCGCUCGCCCGCGUUCGCGAUGAUUAUUCGUUAAUUAGCGUGUUGCGUCGCGCGCUUCGCCGCGCGACGGAUUUGUCUAAAUUCAGAUUCUAUCUUGUGUUGCGUCGUGCGCUUCGUCGCGCGACGAUCCAUUUUGUUUCAGGUUGUUUAAGGUGUAGCGCCGUGUGUGUAUUCACGCGAUGUUCCACUUUGGACUCAGUUUAGUCGACGUAUGCCGUCGUGCGCUUCGUCGCGCGACGCUUAACGUCUCCUCGUAACUAAGGCGAAGUGUCUCGUUGCGUGCUCGGUCGCGCGACGAUUCGUUAACUUCUUAAUUUGUUUUAGAGAGCUUUGUCGCGCGUCUCGCCGCGCGACCAUCCUUUUAUUUAUCUCCACCUGCUUAUAAUAAUUAGACAUGAAACAUGACUUUACUUUAUGCUAAACAUAGUGUCUACCUUAAAUUCCUUCCAUUAAGCGAGUGGCUAAAUUUAUAAUCAUGUAACGUUAUCGUUUCUCGACUGUCUUUUCCUCUUUCUCUCUUAACCGUACUCGCGAGCCUGCGUAGAACGUCUAUUUACUUAUUGCAUUCUAUUGUAUGGUGUACUGUUCUUUUGUAUUAAAUAUGUGGAUGUAUGUAUGUUUGCGCUCGCAUAGAGAACGAUCCAGUUGAAGAGCCCGAGGAACCCGCAGGAGAAGCCCCUGAGCAGCAGUCGUUUGGUGGAGGCAAGUGUCCCUUGACCUAUCUCUGUCCUAUUCAUUCUUUAAUUCACCUCCCGCUUUACAUAUUUAUGCCUAAGGAUUGACUAGCUUUUGUUAUCCCUGUCCUUGAUUACCUAUUUGGGUUGGAUUAUUACUGUUUAGCUUUAUGCUAUUGCUCAACUCUAAUCAAUGAACAUGAUGAGAUUAUUCAUGAUACGCUGUUUUCCCUUCUCUUAUGAUGAUGUUGUACUUGUGACCUUCAAGGGGGCUCGAGCGGUUUCUCGAGUGCCUCUCCGUAAGGACCUGUUCUAUGGAUGACCGCCCGGGAAAACAGUGCAACCAUGAGGGUGGAAUGGGAUGCCCUUAGCUGAAUAAUUAGAGGAUCCGGGGUGUAGUUCACUUAGCCGUCGUGCCGUCAAUGGGGCUCGGUGUAUGCGGCUCGCUCUGCCAAGUUUGGGUUCGCCCCUUGGGGAGGAGUGCGGUGCAUUUAGGAAACCUAACGGGUGGCUACAGCCCCGGGGAAUCUUUGUAAAGGCUACGUAGUGAUGCCCUGCUAGGCCACCUAGGUAGUGGUCAAUGGGGAGUAGCUCUCUCCGGGCAGAAUGGGAAUCACGGCUUGUGGGUAAAGUGCACAACCUCUGCAGAGUGUUUGGAAACUGAUAUAUCAGCCGUGCUCGCGGUUAUGAGCGGCCAAGGGAGCUCCAAUGAUUAGUGAUACUUGAUCAGAGAUAUUUUGGUACAGGUGGUUAUGAGAUUGAUGGUUUUGGUUAUGACUAUGGUGCUGGUAAGUGGUAUUCUUUCCGUUUGGAAAGGGUACAUUGGGCUAAUAACUUGGGUUAAUGCUAAAACUUGGCUUUCUACUAGUAAAUAAUAAUCUGACCAACUAAAAGCAACUGCUUGACUUAUCCCCACAUAAAGCUAGUCCACUACAGCCAAACAGGAUACUUGCUGAGUAUGUUGAUGUGUACUCACCCUUGCUCUACACACCAAACCCCCCCCCCAGGUUGUCAGCAUUGCAACCACUGCUCAGGCGAAGAUGAAGUGGAAGGCGACUUCCAGGAGUUCCAAGACUACGACGAGUUCUAGGUGUGGGUUAGCGGCAACCCCCAGUCGGCUGCCUGUGAAGGCCGCGUUAUCUACGUUUCUUUUCCGCACUUUGAUUUAUUGUAAGAACUAUAUGGACGUCUCAGACGUAUGAUGUAAUCGACUAUUUCCCUUAUUAAUACUAUUUUGAGCACUGUGUGAUGAUGUCCAUAUUAUGUAACUGCUGUGUACGUGAAUAACUGAUCCUGGCACGUACAUGGUUUGCAUUCGGUUUGCCUUCUAAAACCGGGUGUGACAUAAGUGGUAUCAAAGCCGUGCUGACUGUAGGACCGCUAACCUAGAGUAGAAUGGUCGUUCUAAGGACUAUAGACCUCUGUCUCUUCCUUGACUUUGAUAUCCCUUCAAAAGUUGGUCAUACCGACCAAACCUAUGUUCUACUAUAUAUUAUACCUUGCUAAAAAAUUGUGUUUCAUUCUGAUCCUUCAUUUACUUAUUACUUGCUGGUCAUAUUAAUUCUGUUCUCACCCUUUUGCUUGCGAUGUCCUUUGUAGAUGGCUCGACUUAGACACACUGCACGAAAGUCAGUCAUCCCCUUCUUACCCUCCCGCCUUGCCGAGCGUCCGCUUCGCCGUCCCGUGGCCGGACAGUCCAGCCACUUGGAGAGACUACACCACCGCCUGCGUGAGGAGCAGGAGCGUCGACGACAGGAGCAGCAUGGCUCUUCUUUCUCGCUCCACCAGGAGAUAGAGUCUGUGAGGAGCUGCUCCCCUGUGCUUCCUCUGGAGCCGCCCCCUGCACCACCACUGGGCGUCCUAGCUUCUGGAGUAGCUGCUGGAGGAGACCCAGACGACGGAGAUGGCGACGACAGCUCGAGCCACGACACCGACUUCUCUGCUAACCCUGAGCCGGAAGGAUGGGUUGCUCGACCCAUCACUCGCGACGCCGCUCGCGGGUGUCACUUCCAUGAUGCGCUCGACACCCUGCUACGUCGGGCAUUUGACCGACAUACUUGGUCCGUCGAGUAUCGCUGUGUGGUCUACCAGCAUAGUCGCGGGGUCUACCCGGACCGCUGGGAGGCGACUUGCUUGGUGCGCUGUCCGGAGAACAGUCUCCAGGGUGCUGAGGUCUGUUCAAAGCACUAUUCUAUCUCUGAGCGGGACUCAGCUGAGGCAGCCAUGCAAGAUGCUGCAUGGCGUGCGCUUUCGCACUACUGCUCGGUUUUCGGUGGGGCAGCUGAUGGUCUUGACCUGAAGUAUUACCCCCGCCGUUCAUCUGGCAGCACAGGAGGCGUGAUUGUCUCACCUGUCGGUGAGGGCAAUCCUAGGUUGAGCAGCACAGUCAACCUAGCCGCCGUGCUAAACACGGAGCUGGACCAUGCAUUAGACGAGCUGAGUAGGGCUCGUGCUGAGGUCGCCCUGUUGCGGGCUGAGCGCGCGGAACGUCGUCACUUGGAUGGUGGUUCCCCCGCUCCCGUUGGGAUUCAGCACCCGUACCGCUCACCUCAGCGUGGACACCAGUCUUAUGGCAAUCCCGCCUGCAAGACCAAGAUAACUCUAGAACCAUAGAUCGUUAGAGUUGGAUCUUGUAAUUAAUACGAGAUAUAUAUACGUAGAAGCUUCAGUCUUAGCGUUAGUCUCAGUCUUAGUUAGUCUUAGUUAGACAGGGUAGUUUGCUAUAUCCUGUGCAUUUAUGUUUGUCAUGAUGAACUAUGUUUGGUUUGGAUCUUUGUAAUGAUUGUCACCAGAGUGUGGGUAUCCCCUGCAUUUUGGUUUACCUAUUAUGUUAAUGGAGUUAGUUAUAUAGUCGGGAAACCCAUUAUUCCACUUUCCUCUUUAUCUGAGAAGCUGUGUGGUCUGUGUUGGAGAUCAGUGAAGAUGCUCAUCUGUUCAGUGCUGUUGAAGAAUUCUAUUCUCUUUCCUUAUGCUGCAAGACUUGCCAGAUCAGUUCUGAUGUGUGGUUGCAUUCUGCAGAUGUCAGAGAACAGGCGCAGAGGAGGAAGGCGUGCUCAACAGGAGCGAGCCGCUCAACAGGAUGAGGUGCCCCAGCAGCAGCACCUGCCGCCCCCGCCCCCGAUGUCGAUCGAGCAGAUGUUUCUGAUGCAGACUCAGGCAGUUCAAGCCAUCGGUCAGACUUUGGCCGCCAUUCAGCAGCAGCAGUAGCAACAGCAGCAAGCACCACCCCAGCCUCAGAUGCCUCAGAUGCCCAGAGACAAGCGUGCUGAAUUCAUGAGAGGUCAUCCACCAACGUUUGCUCAUUCUUCUGACCCUAUGGAUGCUGAAGAUUGGCUGCGCACUGUGGAGCGGGAGUUGCAUACCGCUCAGUGCGAUGACAGGGAGAAAGUUCUGUAUGGCCCCCGUCUGUUGAGAGGAGCAGCCCAGUCAUGGUGGGAGUCUUACCUCGCCACCCAUGCCCACCCUGACGCCAUCACUUGGGAGGAAUUCAGGAGUAGCUUUCGUCAGUACCAUGUUCCUGCAGGUCUGAUGACAGUGAAGAAGGAGGAGUUCCUGGCUCUCAAGCAAGGGCCAUUGUCUGUCAGUGAGUACCGGGACAAGUUUCUGCAAUUGUCUCGCUAUGCUCCUGAAGAUGUCAACACCGAUGCCAAGCGGUAGUACCGUUUCCUGAGAGGCUUGGUUGACCCUCUGCAGUACCAACUGAUGAAUCACACCUUCCCGACAUUCCAGCACCUGAUUGAUAGAGCAAUCAUGACGGAGAGAAAGCGUAAGGAGAUGGAAGAUCGUAAGCGCAAGAUCAGUGGACCCCAGCCUGGAAGCAGCAGCCGUCCUCGUUUCUCAGGCAAUCAACCUCAGCAGUUCAGGCAGAACCAGCGUCCACCUCAGCAGCAUCAGCAGUUCCAAAAGCAGUAUCCUCAGAAUCAGUACCAGAACCGUCAGAGCAAUCAGUCAGGAGGUCAGUUUCAGAAGCAGAAUCAGCAAGCACCUCGUCUUCCUGCCCCAGCAAACCAGCAGAACAGUCAGGCAGCACCAGCUCAGGUUGGAAACAGAGCAUGUUUCCACUGUGGAGAGCAGGGCCAUUGGGUGAUGCAAUGUCCGAAGAAGGCAGCCCAGCAGCAGUCAGGCCCCAAUGCCCCAGCAAAGCAGAAUGUGUCUCAGCCUGGAGCAGGCAACCGCCCUCAACAGCGCUAUAAUCAUGGAAGAUUGAAUCACUUGGAGGCUGAAGCAGUUCAGGAGACCCCCGGCAUGAUAGUAGGUAUGUUCCCAGUCGACUCCCAUAUUGCAGAAGUGUUAUUUGAUACUGGAGCAACGCAUUCUUUCAUUACUGCAUCAUGGGUAGAAGCACAUAAUCUUCCAAUUACUACCAUGUCAACCCCCAUUCAAAUUGACUCAGCCGGUGGUAGAAUUCGAGCCGAUAGCAUUUGUUUGAAUAUAAGUGUGGAAAUAAGGGGGAUAGCGUUUCCCGCCAACCUUAUAGUAAUGGGUACUCAGGGAAUAGACGUCAUCCUAGGGAUGAAUUGGCUAGAUAAGUAUCAGGCAGUUAUCAGUUGUGAUAAGAGGACCAUCAAGUUGGUGUCCCCACUAGGAGAGGAAGUGGUGACCGAGUUAGUCCCGCCUGAGCCAAAGAAAGGAAGUUGUUAUCAGAUAGCUGUUGAUAGCAGUAAAGCAGACCCAAUUGAGAGUAUCAAGGUUGUGUCUGAGUUCCCAGAUGUGUUUCCAAAGGACUUACCGGGUAUGCCACCAGAGCGGAAAGUUGAGUUUGCCAUAGAGCUUCUUCCUGGAACCGCCCCUAUCUUUAAGAGAGCUUACAGAAUAUCCGGACCAGAGUUGGUUGAGCUUAAGAAGCAGAUUGAUGAGCUGUCAGAGAAAGGUUACAUUCGGCCAAGCACCUCGCCUUGGGCCGCCCCUGUCUUAUUUGUGGAAAAGAAAGAUGGCACCAAGAGGAUGUGUAUCGAUUACCGAGCUUUGAAUGAGGUCACGAUCAAGAACAAGUAUCCCUUGCCCAGAAUAGAAGAUCUGUUCGACCAGUUGAGUUGGAACCUACCUUGGAGCGCGAAAUCAAAGAAGCGCAGAAGAAUGAUGAAAAGAUCAGUGAGAUUCGGCGACUGAUUCUAGAUGGCAAAGGCAAAGAUUUUCGAGAAGAUGCAGAAAGCGUGAUAUGGUUCAAAGACCGCUUGUGUGUUCCCAAUGUCCAGUCUAUUCGGGAGUUGAUUCUUAAGGAAGCUCAUGAGACAGCCUAUUCGAUUCACCCUGGCAGUGAGAAGAUGUAUCAGGAUCUGAAGAAGAAAUUCUGGUGGUACGGAAUGAAGAGGGAAAUCGCAGAGCAUGUGGCUAUGUGCGAUAGUUGUCGAAGAAUUAAGGCAGAGCACCAGAGACCUGCUGGAUUGUUGCAACCGUUGCAGAUCCCUCAGUGGAAAUGGGAUGAAAUCGGUAUGGAUUUCAUAGUCGGAUUGCCUCGCACUCGAGCCGGCUACGAUUCCAUUUGGGUAGUAGUGGACCGCUUGACCAAGUCAGCCCACUUCAUACCUGUCAAGACCAACUAUAGCAGUGCCGUAUUGGCCGAAUUGUAUAUGUCUCGGAUCGUUUGUCUUCAUGGUGUGCCAAAGAAGAUAGUGUCAGACAGAGGAACACAGUUCACCUCUCAUUUCUGGCAGCAGUUGCAUGAAGCCUUGGGCACGCAUCUGAAUUUCAGUUCAGCUUAUCACCCGCAGACAGAUGGCCAGACCGAAAGGACCAACCAAGUUCUUGAAGACAUGUUGAGAGCCUGUGCGUUGCAAGAUCAGUCCGGAUGGGAUAAGCGAUUGCCUUAUGCAGAGUUUUCCUAUAACAACAGUUACCAGGCCAGUUUGAAGAUGUCACCAUUUCAGGCGCUCUAUGGAAGGAGUUGCAGAACUCCGUUGCAAUGGGAUCAGCCUGGAGAAAAGCAAGUGUUUGGGCCAGACAUUUUGCUGGAAGCCGAAGAGAACAUCAAGAUGGUCCGAGAGAAUCUGAAGAUAGCGCAAUCGAGGCAGCGAAGCUAUGCAGACACAAGAAGAAGAGAGCUGAGUUUCGAAGUCGGAGACUUUGUCUAUCUGAAAGUGUCACCGAUCAGAGGAGUCAGAAGAUUUGGAGUGAAAGGCAAGCUAGCACCCCGCUACAUUGGUCCGUAUCAGAUUCUUGCAAGACGAGGAGAAGUGGCCUAUCAGCUCAGUUUGCCAGAGAGUUUGUCUGCUGUGCAUAAUGUCUUUCAUGUGUCUCAGUUGAAGAAGUGCUUGCGUGUGCCAGAAGAGCAGUUGCCAGUGGAAGGUCUUGAGGUCCAGGAGGACUUGACCUACGUUGAGAAGCCAGUGCAAAUCCUUGAGGUUGCAGACCGAGUCACCCGAAGGAAGACCAUCAGAAUGUGCAAAGUCAGAUGGGAUCAUCACUCUGAGGAAGAAGCAACCUGGGAGCGUGAAGAUGAUCUGUUGGCUAAAUACCCUGAGCUCUUUGCUAGCCAACCCUGAAUCUCGAGGGCGAGAUUCUUUUAAGGGGGAUAGGUUUGUAACGCCCUGAAUUUGGGGGUAGAAUUUUUUCUUCUUUUCUCUCACCAAAUUCGGGCGUUACUCUCUUUUCUCUUUCCCCGUUUGCUCCUUCUUCCCAAUUUCAAACCAGUAUAGCGGCAGGUGUCCGUGUUAUGUAUAAACCAAAACCUAAGUGUCAUGGGUGUUGCAUCAUGCCGAAGCACAUUUCUUUGUCUGAUGUUGAAUGUUCGUCUCGUUCCGUCCCGGAUUUCGGUUCGCGAUUUAAUUCCGUUUAGUGGUCGCGCUCGUCGUGGGUUUUCGAUCCGCGAGGUGGCCCGGCCCAACCUAGCCCAGCCCAGUCGGCCCGGCCCGCCUCGGCCUGCGCGCCCCUGGCGCCCAACCCCCCCCUGCGCCCCCCAUCCUCUCCCUCUCCCUCAUUUGGAUCUCCCGCGCAACAGCUUCCCUCUCCCUCUUCCACCUCUCUCUCCCCGUGGUGCCCUAGGGUUUGGAGACGGCGAUCACCGGAUUUUGGACCCCGAGGUGAGCUCCCCUCCCCUUCUCUUCUCUCUCUCCCUCCCCCUCCUCUUCUUCCCCACGCGCGCCCUCCCUCUCCCCUGCUCGCGCGCGCCCCUGCCCGCCCUUGCUCGCCGGCGGCGCGGCGCCCCCCGCCCCUGCCCGGCCCCGUGCAGCGGCGCCCGCCCUCCCCCGGCUGCGGCGGCGCUCGCCCGCCCCUCCCCCUCGCCCGCGCGGCGGCGCCCGACCCCGUCCCCGUCCCCACCCCGGCCCGCGCGGCGGCGCCCGACCCCGUCCCCGCCCCUCGUCGGCGACGCCUCCCGCCCGCCCCCGCCCGGCCCCGCGCGGCCCCCUGCCCGCCCCUCGGCGCGGUGGUGCCCCGGCCCCCCGCUCGGCCCCCGACCCUGUCCCUCCCCGGCGGCGCCCGCCCGCUCGGCCUCCCUGGCGGCGCUCGGCCGCUCGGCCCUCGGCCCUCGGCGCGGCUCCCCUCCCCCUCCCCCCCCGGCGGCGAUCCCGCCCGCCCCCUGCCCGACCCCGGCCCCGGCGGCGCUCGGCCUCGCCCCCUGCCCCUCCCCGGCCCCGCCCCGGCUCGCCCUCGGCUCGCCCGCUCGGCCCCGGCCGGUUCAACCGCCCUGGCCCCAGCUCGCCCGCUCGUUUCCCCGUCCCGGUCUCGCCCGACCGUAUUUUCGCUCGCCCGCGUUCGCGAUGAUUAUUCGUUAAUUAGCGUGUUGCGUCGCGCGCUUCGCCGCGCGACGGAUUUGUCUAAAUUCAGAUUCUAUCUUGUGUUGCGUCGUGCGCUUCGUCGCGCGAGGAUCCAUUUUGUUUCAGGUUGUUUAAGGUGUAGCCCCGUGUGUGUAUUCACGCGAUGUUCCACUUUGGACUCAGUUUAGUCGACGUAUGCCGUCGUGCGCUUCGUCGCGCGACGCUUAACGUCUCCUCGUAACUAAGGCGAAGUGUCUCGUUGCGUGCUCGGUCGCGCGACGAUUCGUUAACUUCUUAAUUUGUUUUAGAGAGCUUUGUCGCGCGUCUCGCCGCGCGACCAUCCUUUUAUUUAUCUCCACCUGCUUAUAAUAAUUAGACAUGAAACAUGACUUUACUUUAUGCUAAACAUAGUGUCUACCUUAAAUUCCUUCCAUUAAGCGAGUGGCUAAAUUUAUAAUCAUGUAACGUUAUCGUUUCUCGACUGUCUUUUCCUCUUUCUCUCUUAACCGUACUCGCGAGCCUGCGUAGAACGUCUGUUUACUUAUUGCAUUCUAUUGUAUGGUGUACUGUUCUUUUGUAUUAAAUAUGUGGAUGUAUGUAUGUUUGCGCUCGCAUAGAGAACGAUCCAGUUGAAGAGCCCGAGGAACCCGCAGGAGAAGCCCCUGAGCAGCAGUCGUUUGGUGGAGGCAAGUGUCCCUUGACCUAUCUCUGUCCUAUUCAUUCUUUAAUUCACCUCCCGCUUUACAUAUUUAUGCCUAAGGAUUGACUAGCUUUUGUUAUCCCUGUCCUUGAUUACCUAUUUGGGUUGGAUUAUUACUGUUUAGCUUUAUGCUAUUGCUCAACUCUAAUCAAUGAACAUGAUGAGAUUAUUCAUGAUACGCUGUUUUCCCUUCUCUUAUGAUGAUGUUGUACUUGUGACCUUCAAGGGGGCUCGAGCGGUUUCUCGAGUGCCUCUCCGUAAGGACCUGUUCUAUGGAUGACCGCCCGGGAAAACAGUGCAACCAUGAGGGUGGAAUGGGAUGCCCUUAGCUGAAUAAUUAGAGGAUCCGGGGUGUAGUUCACUUAGCCGUCGUGCCGUCAAUGGGGCUCGGUGUAUGCGGCUCGCUCUGCCAAGUUUGGGUUCGCCCCUUGGGGAGGAGUGCGGUGCAUUUAGGAAACCUAACGGGUGGCUACAGCCCCGGGGAAUCUUUGUAAAGGCUACGUAGUGAUGCCCUGCUAGGCCACCUAGGUAGUGGUCAAUGGGGAGUAGCUCUCUCCGGGCAGAAUGGGAAUCACGGCUUGUGGGUAAAGUGCACAACCUCUGCAGAGUGUUUGGAAACUGAUAUAUCAGCCGUGCUCGCGGUUAUGAGCGGCCAAGGGAGCUCCAAUGAUUAGUGAUACUUGAUCAGAGAUAUUUUGGUACAGGUGGUUAUGAGAUUGAUGGUUUUGGUUAUGACUAUGGUGCUGGUAAGUGGUAUUCUUUCCGUUUGGAAAGGGUACAUUGGGCUAAUAACUUGGGUUAAUGAUAAAACUUGGCUUUCUACUAGUAAAUAAUAAUCUGACCAACUAAAAGCAACUGCUUGACUUAUCCCCACAUAAAGCUAGUCCACUACAGCCAAACAGGAUACUUGCUGAGUAUGUUGAUGUGUACUCACCCUUGCUCUACACACCAAACCCCCCCCAGGUUGUCAGCAUUGCAACCACUGCUCAGGCGAAGAUGAAGUGGAAGGCGACUUCCAGGAGUUCCAAGACUACGACGAGUUCUAGGUGUGGGUUAGCGGCAACCCCCAGUCGGCUGCCUGUGAAGGCCGCGUUAUCUACGUUUCUUUUCCGCACUUUGAUUUAUUGUAAGAACUAUAUGGACGUCUCAGACGUAUGAUGUAAUUGACUAUUUCCCUUAUUAAUACU